GGGAAACUGGGGCACAGAGAUGCCAAGCUCUUGCCUAGAGCCAGCCACCAAGGAGCAGGCCUCCUGCACCUGCUGGAUGUGGACUCUGGGCCCGCAGGUGCCUCAAAGCCCUUGUCCCAGCUGGCCGGUUCUCCCUCUGGAUCUGUGGCUGUUGGGGUGACAUCUUCACAAGACCGUCAUCCCCAAGGGGCUGGACACCCGGCCUGGCUCAGCGCAGCCCUGGCAUGGAGCAGGUGCUCAGCCAAGUACGUGCUGAUGAAUGAAGAAAGGAAGAACAAAUGAAUGUGAACAUGCCUGUGUCACUGGCACUCAGACUGAGACCUGGAUUGUGACCACCCCCUCCCCGUUGCCUGUCCCAG